rnacentral:rRNA from 1 species
AGCACAGUGUAGCAAUACAUGGGGUGGCGACCGGCAAACGGGUGCGGAACACGUACGCAACCUUCCUUUAACUGGAGAAUAGCCCGGGGAAACCCGGAUUAAUACUCCGUAACAUUAUGAAGUGGCAUCACUUUAUAAUUAUAGCUCCGGCGGUUGAAGAUGGGCGUGCGUCUGAUUAGGUAGUUGGCGGGGUAACGGCCCACCAAGCCUACGAUCAGUAACUGGUGUGAGAGCACGACCAGUCACACGGGCACUGAGACACGGGCCCGACUCCUACGGGAGGCAGCAGUAAAGAAUAUUGGUCAAUGGACGCAAGUCUGAACCAGCCAUGCCGCGUGGAGGAUGAAGGUCCUCUGGAUUGUAAACUUCUUUUAUUUGGGAAGAAACCCCCGAUUUCUAUUGGGGUUGACGGUACCAGAUGAAUAAGCACCGGCUAACUCCGUGCCAGCAGCCGCGGUAAUACGGAGGGUGCAAGCGUUAUCCGGAUUCACUGGGUUUAAAGGGUGCGUAGGCGGGUUGGUAAGUCCGUGGUGAAAUCUCCAAGCUUAACUUGGAAACUGCCGUGGAUACUAUCAAUCUUGAAUAUAGUGGAGGUGAGCGGAAUAUGUCAUGUAGCGGUGAAAUGCUUAGAUAUGACAUAGAACACCCAUUGCGAAGGCAGCUCGCUACACUAUUAUUGACGCUGAGGCACGAAAGCGUGGGGAUCAAACAGGA